CACGUAGGGCGCAAGCGUUGUCCGGAAUUAUUGGGCGUAAAGAGCUCGUAGGCGGUCUGUUGCGUCCGCUGUGAAAACUCGGGGCUUAACCCCGAGCCUGCAGUGGAUACGGGCAGACUAGAGGUAGGUAGGGGAGAAUGGAAUUCCCGGUGUAGCGGUGAAAUGCGCAGAUAUCGGGAGGAAUACCGGUGGCGAAGGCGGUUCUCUGGGCCUUACCUGACGCUGAGGAGCGAAAGCGUGGGGAGCGAACAGG
rnacentral:rRNA from 1 species